CCUACGGGAGGCAGCAGUGGGGAAUAUUGGACAAUGGGGGCAACCCUGAUCCAGCCAUGCCGCGUGUGUGAAGAAGGCCCUCGGGUUGUAAAGCACUUUCAGUGAGGAAGAACGCCUGGUGGUUAAUACCCAUCAGGAAAGACAUCACUCACAGAAGAAGCACCGGCUAACUCCGUGCCAGCAGCCGCGGUAAUACGGAGGGUGCGAGCGUUAAUCGGAAUUACUGGGCGUAAAGCGCGCGUAGGUGGCUUGAUAAGCCGGUUGUGAAAGCCCCGGGCUCAUCCUGGGAACGGCAUCCGGAACUGUCAAGCUAGAGUGCAGGAGAGGAAGGUAGAAUUCCCGGUGUAGCGGUGAAAUGCGUAGAGAUCGGGAGGAAUACCAGUGGCGAAGGCGGCCUUCUGGACUGACACUGACACUGAGGUGCGAAAGCGUGGGUAGCAAACAGGAUUAGAUACCCUAGUAGUC
rnacentral:rRNA from 1 species